rnacentral:rRNA from 1 species
UGGGGAAUAUUGCACAAUGGGCGCAAGCCUGAUGCAGCCAUGCCGCGUGUAUGAAGAAGGCCUUCGGGUUGUAAAGUACUUUCAGCGGGGAGGAAGGGAGUAAAGUUAAUACCUUUGCUCAUUGACGUUACCCGCAGAAGAAGCACCGGCUAACUCCGUGCCAGCAGCCGCGGUAAUACGGAGGGUGCAAGCGUUAAUCGGAAUUACUGGGCGUAAAGCGCACGCAGGCGGUUUGUUAAGUCAGAUGUGAAAUCCCCGGGCUCAACCUGGGAACUGCAUCUGAUACUGGCAAGCUUGAGUCUCGUAGAGGGGGGUAGAAUUCCAGGUGUAGCGGUGAAAUGCGUAGAGAUCUGGAGGAAUACCGGUGGCGAAGGCGGCCCCCUGGACGAAGACUGGCGCUCAGGUGCGAAAGCGUGGGGAGCAAACAGG